CCCUCCCUCUUUCUUCAUGCCUAACACAUGCAAGUCGAACGAGACCUUCGGGUCUAGUGGCGCACGGGUGCGUAACGCGUGGGAACCUGCCCUUAGGUUCGGAAUAACUCCCCGAAAGGGGUGCUAAUACCGGAUAAUGUCUUCGGACCAAAGAUUUAUCGCCUUUGGAUGGGCCCGCGUUGGAUUAGCUAGUUGGUAGGGUAAAAGCCUACCAAGGCGACGAUCCAUAGCUGGUCUGAGAGGAUGAUCAGCCACACUGGGACUGAGACACGGCCCAGACGCCUACGGGAAGCAGCAGUGGGAAUAUUGGACAAUGGGCGAAAGCCUGAUCCAGCAAUGCCGCGUGAGUGAUGAAGGCCUUAGGGUUGUAAAGCUCUUUUACCCGGGAUGAUAAUGACAGUACCGGGAGAAUAAGCUCCGGCUAACUCCGUG
rnacentral:rRNA from 1 species